rnacentral:piRNA from 1 species
UCCCAGGAUAACUUAAGCGCUAGACCGGA